rnacentral:rRNA from 1 species
GACGGAGGGUGCAAGCGUUGCUCGGAAUCACUGGGCGUAAAGGGUGCGUAGGCGGCUUGGUGGGUCUGGUGUGAAAGCCCCGGGCUCAGCCCGGGAAGGGCACUAGAAACUGCCGAGCUGGAGUGCCGGAGGGGAGAGUGGAAUUCCUGGUGUAGCGGUGAAAUGCGUAGAUAUCAGGAAGAACACCCAUGGCGAAAGCAGCUCUCUGGGACGGUACUGACGCUGAGGCGCGAAAGCGUGGGGAGCGAACAGG